rnacentral:tRNA from 1 species
UCCCUGGUGGCUCAGAUGGUAAAAGCAUCUGCCUACAUCGCGGGAGACCCAGGUUCGAUCCCUGGGUUGGGAA